rnacentral:rRNA from 1 species
UGCAAGUCGAACGAACUCUGGUAUUGAUUGGUGCUUGCAUCAUGAUUUACAUUUGAGUGAGUGGCGAACUGGUGAGUAACACGUGGGAAACCUGCCCAGAAGCGGGGGAUAACACCUGGAAACAGAUGCUAAUACCGCAUAACAACUUGGACCGCAUGGUCCGAGYUUGAAAGAUGGCUUCGGCUAUCACUUUUGGAUGGUCCCGCGGCGUAUUAGCUAGAUGGUGRGGUAACGGCUCACCAUGGCAAUGAUACGUAGCCGACCUGAGAGGGUAAUCGGCCACAUUGGGACUGAGACACGGCCCAAACUCCUACGGGAGGCAGCAGUAGGGAAUCUUCCACAAUGGACGAAAGUCUGAUGGAGCAACGCCGCGUGAGUGAAGAAGGGUUUCGGCUCGUAAAACUCUGUUGUUAAAGAAGAACAUAUCUGAGAGUAACUGUUCAGGUAUUGACGGUAUUUAACCAGAAAGCCACGGCUAACUACGUGCCAGCAGCCGCGGUAAUACGUAGGUGGCAAGCGUUGUCCGGAUUUAUUGGGCGUAAAGCGAGCGCAGGCGGUUUUUUAAGUCUGAUGUGAAAGCCUUCGGCUCAACCGAAGAAGUGCAUCGGAAACUGGGAAACUUGAGUGCAGAAGAGGACAGUGGAACUCCAUGUGUAGCGGUGAAAUGCGUAGAUAUAUGGAAGAACACCAGUGGCGAAGGCGGCUGUCUGGUCUGUAACUGACGCUGAGGCUCGAAAGUAUGGGUAGCAAACAGGAUUAGAUACCCUGGUAGUCCAUACCGUAAACGAUGAAUGCUAAGUGUUGGAGGGUUUCCGCCCUUCAGUGCUGCAGCUAACGCAUUAAGCAUUCCGCCUGGGGAGUACGGCCGCAAGGCUGAAACUCAAAGGAAUUGACGGGGGCCCGCACAAGCGGUGGAGCAUGUGGUUUAAUUCGAAGCUACGCGAAGAACCUUACCAGGUCUUGACAUACUAUGCAAAUCUAAGAGAUUAGACGUUCCCUUCGGGGACAUGGAUACAGGUGGUGCAUGGUUGUCGUCAGCUCGUGUCGUGAGAUGUUGGGUUAAGUCCCGCAACGAGCGCAACCCUUAUUAUCAGUUGCCAGCAUUAAGUUGGGCACUCUGGUGAGACUGCCGGUGACAAACCGGAGGAAGGUGGGGAUGACGUCAAAUCAUCAUGCCCCUUAUGACCUGGGCUACACACGUGCUACAAUGGAUGGUACAACGAGUUGCGAACUCGCGAGAGUAAGCUAAUCUCUUAAAGCCAUUCUCAGUUCGGAUUGUAGGCUGCAACUCGCCUACAUGAAGUCGGAAUCGCUAGUAAUCGCGGAUCAGCAUGCCGCGGUGAAUACGUUCCCGGGCCUUGUACACACCGCCCGUCACACCAUGAGAGUUUGUAACACCCAAAGUCGGUGGGGUAACCUUUUAGGAACCAGCCGCC